rnacentral:lncRNA from 1 species
UUCUUAUUGAGGUAUUAAAAGCUGCACUGUCAUGCAUUCAUAUAUGUGAACUGGCAGCCAAACUUUGUAACGUGAACGUGAUGAUUUUGGUAUUGAUUUUAAAGAGAAUAGAUUGUUUAAAAUUGGGUUUUGUUUUCCAAAAGUUAUGCAUGUAUUGUAAUAUCGCAAAAGAAACUUAAAAAUUAUGGAUAAAAUUGCUUCCCACAUCCACGUUUUUCUGGUUUCUCGACAUAUUCCAAAUCCUAGUUUGUGCAUUUCUCAUUUUCCACGUUUUUCAGUAUUUUUCGCCAUAUUCCAUGUCCUACCAUGUGAGUUUCUCACUUUACUUGUUUCUAAGUUUUCUCAGCAUAUUCCAGGAAAAAGAGAUAUUAAUGGAUUAAUAUUAAUUCUAUAUAUACAUAUAUACAUAUAUACAUACACACACACAUUUUUAAAAAGAGAAUUAGAGUAGAGCUGGGGCAAUUGUGGAACACACCUUUAACCUCAGGCAGAUUUCUGCGUUCAAGGUCACCCUGGCUUACAAGUCAGCUAGGGCUAGAGAAACCAUAUCUCAGAAAAAACGAAAAAAAUAAUAGAAAGACAGAAAGAAAGA